CGGGUGGGCACAGCUGUCAACAUCUGGGUCCACAGUCAGGGCCAGACACGGCGGGUGGGAGCUUGGUCCGCAAUGACUCAGCUCUCCUGGGA
rfam:Vicugna pacos cont1.306572, whole genome shotgun sequence.